AUUGAACGCUGGCGGCAUGCUUUACACAUGCGAGUCGAACGGCAGCACAGGGAGCUUGCUCCUUGGUGGCGAGUGGCGCACGGGUGAGUAAUGUAUCGGAACGUGCCUGGUAGUGGGGGAUAACUACUCGAAAGAGUGGCUAAUACCGCAUGAAGUCUUUGGUUGAAAGCGGGGGACGUUCGGGCCUCGUGCUACUGGAGCGGCCGAUAUCAGAUUAGGUUGUUGGUGGGGUAAAGGCCUACCAAGCCUGCGAUCUGUAGCUGGUCUGAGAGGACGACCAGCCACAGUGGGACUGAGACACGGCCCAGACUCCUACGGGAGGCAGCAGUGGGGAAUUUUGGACAAUGGGCGCAAGCCUGAUCCAGCAAUGCCGCGUGCAGGACGAAGGCCUUCGGGUUGUAAACUGCUUUUGUACAGAACGAAAAGUCUCUGGCUAAUAUCUAGAGAUCAUGACGGUACUGUAAGAAUAAGCACCGGCUAACUACGU
rnacentral:rRNA from 1 species